UCGAGAAUCUUCGGCAAUGGUCGCAAGACUGACCGAGCGACGCCGCGUGCGGGAUGAAGGCCUUCGGGUUGUAAACCGCUGUCAGAGGGGAGUAAGUGAAGGGGGUCAUCCCCUGGAAUUGAACUAUCCUCAGAGGAAGGACGGGCUAAGUUCGUGCCAGCAGCCGCGGUAAGACGAACCGUCCAAACGUUAUUCGGAAUCACUGGGCUUAAAGGGUGCGUAGGCGGCCCGGCAAGUUGGGUGUGAAAGCCCACGGCUCAACCGUGGAACUGCGCACAAAACUGCCAGGCUUGAGGGAGAUAGAGGUGAGCGGAACUUAUGGUGGAGCGGUGAAAUGCGUUGAUAUCAUAAGGAACGCCAGUGGCGAAAGCGGCUCACUGGGUCUCUUCUGACGCUGAGGCACGAAAGCUAGGGUAGCGAACGGGAUUAGAUACCCCCGUAGUCC
rnacentral:rRNA from 1 species